rnacentral:lncRNA from 1 species
CCCCCAGAAAAGAUGGAAAAGCUGAGGCCUGGGAGAGGGCUGCUGCCCUCGGCCUAGGGUGGCGGUGGUGCUGGGCUUGGUGCUGGAGAAAAGGGGGUUCAUUUCCCAGGUCACGAAGGCAGGAAGAGUCCCUAGGAGCCCAGAGGAGGAUACCGCAGGAGCCCGUCCUGGAGAGGGGAGGGCCCAGGUCCAGAAGCACCCUAGAAGAAAGCCAGAGGUGGAGAGGUGGUGUUGAGAGACUUAGCUUUUGCGUAUGAAUAGGCAGCUAGCAGGGGACAGGGCCUGAGGGGAAGCCAAGCCAGCCAGCCUUUUGGAGAAAACAGCACAUACGCAAGGUGAAGCAUUAAGGCUGUCCACGCAGACCCCAGCUUAGGGAUGUAAAAGCAGACAGGGCCAAAGGACCGCUGCCCUCCUCCCUUUUGCUUCGUUCCCCUAAAUUCUGCAGCAAGAUUCCUGAUGAGCCAAAGUGUGGUGAUCGGUGUGUGGCUCCUGCGUGCUGUUUCUCUGCAGGUCGUAUAGCGCAUGGACCCAAACUACAGCCUAAGCCACCUUGGCCUCUCUCGGCCGGGGACUUGGCCACUAGAUACAAAGGGCCCUAGACUAACGCCCACUCUGGCAGUCCUUUUUCAGGCCCCCUCCUAACUGUUGAGAGCUUCCCUCUCCUUAUACUUCCAUAAACACAACACUUAACUGCCUCUUUUGUCUGCAAUUUCAUUUUUCAGCUGAGUGAGGCACCAGCCCUGUUUGGAUGGUAGCAGUGGCUCCCCUCCUGCAGGAUCUGCUAGCGCCAGAGCCCUGCAGGCAGCCGCCAGCCCAGGAGGAUGGACCGGUCUGCAGAGGGUGCUGCAGGCCGAGCGGCUGGUCCCUGAGUAUGGGUACCACAAACCGAUCUUUAAAAGUUAGAGUUUUUCUUUAGAAGCACAUGGCUUCCCCAGAUGCUCUCAGGCCUAGGGCGUGAACACCCACCCACAUCUGUCCUCAGCCUAGAGGCAUGGACAGAAUCUGCAGAUCCCAGCGCCAGGCGGUCAAGUCCACUUGCCCUCCCUUAGGUGACAGAGGGAGAGGUUCACGUCCAGGCAACAGUGGAAAGAGCCAGUGCAGGUGGCACCCAGGCAUCCCGCCCCCGUCAGCCCCAGCCCCAGGCUGCCCACGCACGCACAUUCUCGCCCAAACCCCCGUCGACACGGUAACCUCCAGAGAGAGAGAUUCCCUGGGGAACGAAGAUGCUCACCAGGGCCACAGGUGCCCUCGCAGACAGCAGCAGAGCCAAGGAGGCUGCAGACGGGGGCUUUUCAGAGGCUGUAUGAGUAGAGCUGCAUGAGCUGCCCUUGGACUUUGAUUCUCCCACCUCAGCNNNNNNNNNNNNNNNNNNNNNNNNNNNNNNNNNNNNNNNNNNNNNNNNNNNNNNNNNNNNNNNNNNNNNNNNNNNNNNNNNGGACUUUGAUUCUCCCACCUCAGCCUGCCAGUGGCUGGGAUCACAAGCGUGGGCCUCUGCACCCGGGUUAGGUGUAUCAUUGUUGUGGGGCAUUGCGGCCUCCAGGAAUUCACCGUGGAGACUUAGGAACCUGCUCCCACAUGUGUGCGGGUGCAAAUGCAGGUGUGGACAUCGAGGCAGGCGUGCAGAUAUGCAGGUAGCAACCUAAGCGUGGCCAGCCCUGCCCCCAGGUACCCCCCAGCCUACUCCCCCUGCCAGCCAGGCCCGAGCCACAUCUGGAGCUCACUUCCUCUGCUGUCCACCCCACCUGGUACCCCCACAUGGUGUGAGGCUUUCUUGUGGGGACCUGUGAGUGACAAGCUAGCUUUGCCUGAUCUGGUGACCACACCACACCUGAAUCACAAUAAACUGCACAACACAACAGGCCAGCGGUGAGGAAGCGCCGUGUCCUGUGGGUGCUAGUUCCAGUGGGAAGCACUCGGGGCCACAGUGCGGUUCACAGUGUGGUUCUCUGCCUGCUUCCACUCCUCAGCCCGGAGCUCACAGGCCCACCAGCCCUGGUGAGCAGCUGUCCGGGACAUGGCCAUCCCUACUGCAGGUGGCAGAGGGCUUUAGGUUAGGGUUGGGUCCAGGGCUGCCCUCCCGGGUCAGAGGCCCCGGAGAGCCCUCUGCAUGCUGGGUGAGAGGACGUAGUUCCUUAGCCACAAGAGGCCUGAGCCCCAUCACCGUGGGUGCCAGUGCUGCCUGGCUCCAAGGGCCACCCUGUGGAGAGCCUGUGUGCCAGCCAGCCCUCCCUCCUUGACUGGGGGACCCCUCUCCCUGUGAUAUUGUCCUUGCAGGAGAACAGGACUGGCUGGUGCCCACAGUGUGGGGUUCAUUGGGACUCUUGCUCUAUCCCAGCAGGACAUCCCUCCCUCAGACCACAGGACCCUACCCCAGACCUCAGUGCUCUCAAUUUCCCUCCCCAGGCAGCCACUGCCUCCAGCACUCUGUCCCCCAGGAUGGCCCAUGGCAGCGGCCUCUGAAGAGCCGCCCUGGAGAUGGGCAGAGUCUGGAGCAGGUGACCACACCCAUCCCGGGGAGGGACAGCAAUGGGCCAGGUGGGGCAGCACCAUGGGCCAGCAGUGAGCCACAGAUCUGGGCAAAUGAGGAAUUAGCCCCAUCCCUGCUGGGGUCUGGGCUCUGCACCCCGAGUUACUCAGCUGUUCAGUCAGGACCCCUUGGGGGGCAGGCACCUGAGCUCCCUCCCCCAAGCCGAAGGAAAGGCUGCUGGUGGCAGGAAGAGUGGCCAGCGAAUGGCCACCCCCACAGGUCAGGGGGCCAGGGUGGCACUCAGGGCAAGAGGGAUCACCGGGAGAGACAGAAAAAACACGGGGCAAAAACCAGCGACUCACAUGGUAGAAUUAUUGCAGAGAGCUAAGUUACUUAGAAAUUAUUAUACGGCAGUUGGACAAAGCUGGGCCCUCAGCACAGAAAAGCAACUGAGGCAAAUUCACUGGUUAGCACUGUAAAAAGAAGAGGUGCUGCCUGCCCUAGAGAUGAGUAGCAGUGAUUGACAUUCUAAAUAGACAUCAUCUCCCUGGCCCAUUUCCUUUCCAGAAAUUCCUCGUACCUAACUUGUUUUCCCAUUGGAUCCCCAUUUAAUCAAUAUUACCUGCGUGACUGUGCUUGUAAUCUUAUUGAUUCAUCAUGGUUUUGCCCCACCUUAUGCCCACCUUGUAAUUUUCCAUUGUAAAAUUUUCCAUUUUACAGUUUUGUCCCACUUUGUACCAGCCUCACCUCGUGGCUUUGCCCAAUGAAACAGCUCUGAAAAGCUGGGUGGGCAGGCAACCCACUUUCCGGUUCCCCACUGUCUCUCUUAAAAUCUAUCUUUCUCUCAAUAAAUUUUUCCUACUCUUAACCUCUGUUGUUCCCAGAAUUUAUUCUUCAGUUUUAGAGAACACAAACGAGCUUCAGAUAUCUAGCAGGUUUCAG